AAUGUAUUUUAAUAAUUAUCAAAACAUAUAUGAGAAUGAGGUAGAAUAAAUACAGGUGUUUUUUAAUGUACUUGGAUAUUGCCUUUUUAUAUGAAUGCAGCUUUUAGCUUCAUGUACAGUUACUUUUAUGGUUUUAUUCUAUUGACCAAUUAAAGAUAGUCUUGGAUUUUUGAAGGAUAAGUAAAGUAUAUAGAUGCUGUGGCAUUUAUUAAGGGAGAUAGAGUGGAUGGUAUUAUUAUUUCUUAAAACAGAUUGUUUUGUAUCUCUGAAAUUAUGAAGCACGUUAAUCAGAAAAAUCAAAUAUAUAAAUUCUAUUUUACAUGUAACUUAAUAACCAUAUAUAACAGAAACAAUGAUGAUGGUAACCCUUACAUUGCACCAGAGAGCAAAAAUAUGUUAUGUGAGGAAGGAUGUAUGUGCGAAAAGAGUGUGUGUGUAUUUGUAUACAGACAUAUGUGAAGAAAAUACAAUGUUAACAUCUGUUAUUUCUGGGAUAUGUGAUUAUACAUGAUUUUUUUCUAUAGUUUUUAUUUUAGAGAUUUUCUAUGAGGACCGUAUACUUUGUUGAUCACAAGAAUGUUAUAAAAGUACAAUUUUACACACUAUAUAAAAGUAAAAUGCAUAAAGAAGUAAAUUUUCCCUUUGAAAUUAAAGGCUAUUACAGCAACAGCCUCCCUCACUGCUUUUAAAUCACACUUCCGGUGCCCAUUUAGAUGUUUCAUCCUCAGUAACAUAAGGCGUUUCAUUAGCGUCCAGUGGUGUAUGAUUGGACCUCCUGAGGUGUUAUGCUUUCAGAUGAAUUAUUAUAAUGUAACAUACAUCUUAGUAAUAACAAUGAAGUUAUCCAGUAAACAUUCAUAGGUAGUAACACUAUAAGAAUAUGUGAUUCCUUUUAAAUAUUUGUAAGACAGUAAACAAAUAUUUUGAAGUGUACUUUUACAAGUACAUUUGCAUAUGUAUUUUGUAUAUUGGUGAAUUCGGUGCUUUGGGGUUUUACAGUAAUGGUGACUUCUUGCAUAGUAUCUCAUGACUGUUUAUAAAGCACCAAGUCUAUGCUCUUAACAGCUGCAUAACUUCCCAUGGGAAGGUUCGCUGUGAUAAUAAGGCACAUAACAUAUCUUCAUAUCAAUUAACUUCUGUGG
rnacentral:lncRNA from 1 species